CGAGUAAGCCAGACAGUCGCUGCUGUGGAAACACAGGAGAGGAAAGUCCGAGCUCCGUAGGGCAGGGUGCUGGGUAAUACCCAGUCAGGGUGACCUGAAGGAAAGUGCAACAGAGAUAUACCGCCUAUUUUAUAUAGGUAAGGGUGGAAAGGCGAGGUAAGAGCUCACCAGCGCAUAGGCGACUAUGCGGCUAUGUAAACCCCAUCUGGAGCAAGAUCGAAUAGGGAAGCAUUAUGGGAUUGCCCGUCCCGCUUCCGGGUGUAUCGCUUGAGCCUAUUGGUAACGAUAGGCCUAGAUAGAUGACUGUUUAAUACAGAACUCGGCUUACAGACUUGCUCGUACC
rnacentral:RNase_P_RNA from 2 species